AUAGCGCCAUGGGCGCCAUGAUCGUAAAUUUUGUUGAGAAGCUUCCGCGUCCUUCUCUCGAAGUUCCUUCAACCUGAACCCCGUACUUCUUUGUAUGCACAGCACAUGCAUUCUCCAUACAGUACGCCACACAAACCAGCUCCGUCAACUCUGCACAGGUGAAGCUAUCCCAUGUUUGUGCAGAAGAUAUUCAGUACUGGUCACCCAUGCACUUCCGACCCCUCCCCCUCCCUUGCCGCCCCCUCCCCAAGCCGGUCCGGACUCAAGGUCUGGGGGCGGCGCCUCGCGGGGGGGGGGGGGGGGGUCUCGUGGGUAGGGGCACCGGACUGACCCACACAGGCUCAGUGGUUGUUCAGAACACCGUGGACCCGCAUUGGGCGCCAGUCGAAGGUCGGGAUACCGGGUCGAAACUCGGCGGCUCCGCGGCCCGAGAGGCGAGGUGGCGCAUCAGUGUUUGAGGACUUGGAGCCUUCAACAUGCAGCGUCUGAUGUUUCUGGCUCUGCUGGUAGUGGCUGUGGCCGCCGCCUUCUCCUCCCAAACCCGGCAGGGCCGCCGCUGGGUCUGGCCCUCUAGCGACGCCGAACGCUUCUCCAGCUUCUCGUACCGCUCGCUAGGUGACAGGUCGGUCGGCCGAAGUCUGCGCCGACUGCCGCCACCCGGCGUGAGCCAAAAUCGACUGGUGACGUCAGUUAGCGGUUCUGGCGGCCGGUGUCCGCUCAUCCCGUCCGCUAGCUGCCCCGCUCGUACCGUUCUUCUCUCCGGGGUCGACCCUGCCAGCCUGCGACCAUGCUCCAACGAUGGCGCGUGUCCAACGGGCACGCGAUGCUGCUACCACCCGUGCCUCACGCUUAGUCUUUGCCUGACUCCGGCUGGAAACUUCGUGACGAAGCUGUUGUAAAAAGUCAUCCUGUGCGAGGCACCAUGUGGUGUGGUGAAUUGAUAGUUUGGGGUCAUGCGUGCGGAUAUGGUAGCAUGUACUGUUUGAUGUGUUCUUGUUCCGGUUCGUGCUUAUUGAGUGCCGUUGUUCCUCACUGUAGGGUGUUGUAGUUGAUGUGUCUGGUCCUUUCAGGACCGGAAGACACACUUGGGGAGGGAGGGGGAUCGUCGCACAAGUGUGAAGUCGACGACAAGCCAAGUCAGCCCUGUAUUGUUCGCCUGUCUCCAAACGUGCAUGUCAUGUUCCGCCGCGGGCAGGGUGGGGAUCAGUAGCACCUGUUGCCACACGUGCGGAAACGACGAGACUUCGUUUUGUCAAAUCGGGCGUUUUUCGGGAGCUGUGCCCUCCACGGCAACGCUUUAGGGUGGUGUAGCGACAAUAUCGUACCGCGUAAAGAGCCAGCACGCGAAAGCUCUCAACGGUCGGUUUGCAAUGAUAAUUCAUUGCUCUAUGAAUUGAUCAAAAGGCUGCAGUAGGCAGCAUUAUACCGUUUUGUGACUGUUAUUGUUUGACCAGCGCUGUAUCGCUGUGUCUUUUUUCGGAGCAGGAUCUUAUGAGCGCAUUGGUAUGAAUUCUAAUUGCAAUAAUAUAGUACGGUAAGAUACGGUAUAAUAUAUCAUGUUGUAUGCUGUGUAGCAUUUUACGGUAAGCUGUCAAGGCCGAUAUCGGGUAACCGUUUUGCAUGACGCCGUUUUACUUAAUGACGGUAGGUACUAUAGAAUA
rnacentral:misc_RNA from 1 species